rnacentral:misc_RNA from 1 species
GCAACCAGACGGGGUAUAAGCAAUGAGUAGGUGAUUUAUGGGCGAGAAUGGUACUUUUGCAUGUACUAUCUCAGGCGAAGUGAUAUGAGGUGUUGAAUAUGAGCCAUGGAGGUGGGGAGAGUGGAAGAUUGCUUGAAAAAUCACAACAUGCGAAGAGAAAAUCUGGUGCAAGUGGUGAUGAAUUCGCCCAAGCAAUUGCAAAGAUUGCUGUAGCUCAAAUAUGUGAGAGUGCUGGGUUUCAGACCUUUCAGCAGUCUGCUCUUGAAAUAUUAUCUGACGCCACCAUUCAGUAUAUAAGAAAUCUGGGAAAGCUUGCCCAAUCCUAUACAAAUUUAGCAGGCAGAACAAAUUUUAAUGCUCUUGAUGUUAUUCAAGGAUUGGAAGAGUUGGGUUCUUCACAGGGGUUUGCUGAUGCUUCUGAUAUUGAUCAUUGUAUUGCUAGUUCAGGUACGGUUAGGGAACUUGUUCAGUAUUUUAGUGAAGCAGAGGAUAUCCCAUUUGCCUAUUCUAUUCCUACUUUCCCUGUUGUUAGAGAAAGGAAGCCAGUUCCAAGUUUUUUGCAAAUUGGUGAGGAGCCUCCUCCGGAGCACAUUCCAGCUUGGCUACCUGCAUUUCCUGAUCCUCAAACUUAUGUUCAGUUUCCCACAGAGAAUGAAGGGGCCACUGAUUCUAACACACGGAAGUUUGAGCUGGCACGGCUGCACACAAGGACUGAUAGGUCUCUACCGAACUUGCAGAAUUAUACUGGCAAUGGGUCUGGGGGUCCUUCCUCUGUUGCCCCUGUUGGUGGUUCUGAGGCAAAACUAGCGGUUGAAGGUAACCCAUUUCUUGCUGCUCCAUUACAGUUUGGAGAGAAGGAAGUUUCCCAUGUUGUUCCUCCAGCUAAGCCUUCAAAUGAAGCUGCUGUGAGAAAUCCUAUUAAUCAAAAUUCUCUUCUGGGUAAUCACGUGUCAGUUCUGGAUACGUUUGCUCCAGCUAUUGAAGCAAGGAAGUCCAGGUUAUGUGAUUCCGAAGAGGGUCAGAAGAGGGUUCUCUUGAAUCAAAGACCUGCUGUACAAUUCAAGAUUGGGGUUGGCAAGAAGUCCUUGGGUAUAGCACUAGAAUUGAGCUCACAGAAUAAGGGUGUUGAGAAGAUCG